GACGAACGCUGGCGGCGUGCUUAACACAUGCAAGUCGAACGGAAAGGCCUCUUUCGGGGGGUACUCGAGUGGCGAACGGGUGAGUAACACGUGAGUAACCUGCCCUUGACUUUGGGAUAACUUCAGGAAACUGGGGCUAAUACCGGAUAGGAGCUCCUGCUGCAUGGUGGGGGUUGGAAAGUUUCGGCGGUUGGGGGUGGACUCGCGGCUUAUCAGCUUGUUGGUGGGGUAGUGGCUUACCAAGGCCUUGACGGGUAGCCGGCCUGAGAGGGUGACCGGCCACAUUGGGACUGGGAUACGGCCCAGACUCCUACGGGAGGCAGCAGUGGGGAAUAUUGCACAAUGGGUGGAAGCCUGAUGCAGCAACGCCGUGUGCGGGAUGACGGCCUUCGGGUUGUAAACCGCUUUCGCUCAUGACGAAGCUUUGUGUGACGGUAGUGGGUAAAGAAGCACCGGCUAACUACGUG
rnacentral:rRNA from 1 species